CUAAGGAUAUGGUGCUUUAGCACCAACGGAAAUACACAACGUUAAAACUUUGUUUAGUUUUGAGAGGCCUACCGGGCGCAUUUCGGGCCUAUAGCUCAGCUGGUUUAGAGCGCACGCCUGAUAAGCGUGAGGUCGAUGGUUCAAGUCCAUUUAGGCCCAUUCUCAGAAAUUUUAAUAGUACCAUGGGGGUUUAGCUCAGCUGGGAGAGCACCUGCUUUGCAAGCAGGAGGUCAUCGGUUCGAUCCCGUUAACCUCCAUUGACAGAGAUGUCAUACUCGUACCUUGAAAACUGGAUAUUAAGAAUUAAUGAUUUAAAGAAACACCGAAAACUGCGCGAUAAAAGUGGAUGUAUUUCCAUAUUUUGUCAAGAUUAAGUUAUAAAGGGCGC
rnacentral:tRNA from 1 species